rnacentral:rRNA from 1 species
UACGGGGGGGGGCAAGCGUUGUUCGGAAUUACUGGGCGUAAAGGGCUCGUAGGCGGCCAACUAAGUCAGACGUGAAAUCCCCCAGGCUCAACCUGGGAACUGCGUCUGAUACUGGAUGGCUUGAAUCCGGGAGAGGGAUGCAGAAUUCCAGGUGUAGCGGUGAAAUGCGUAGAUAUCUGGAGGAAUACCGGUGGCGAAGGCGGCAUCCUGGACCGGCAUUGACGCUGAGGAGCGAAAGCUAGGGGAGCAAACGGGG